rnacentral:rRNA from 1 species
UACGUAGGGUGCAAGCGUUAAUCGGAAUUACUGGGCGUAAAGCGUGCGCAGGCGGUUGUGCAAGACCGUUGUGAAAUCCCCGGGCUUAACCUGGGAAUGGCAUUGGUGACUGCUCGGCUAGAGUGUGUCAGAGGGGGGUAGAAUUCCACGUGUAGCAGUGAAAUGCGUAGAGAUGUGGAGGAAUACCGAUGGCGAAGGCAGCCCCCUGGGAUAACACUGACGCUCAUGCACGAAAGCGUGGGGAGCAAACAGG